CUUCCCCUUUUGCUUCCCUCAGAUUCCCUCUUGUCUGCCGCCAUGGAAGAUGUGUCUUUCACUUUCCACCAUGAUUGUGAGGCCUCCUCAGCCAUGCGAAACUGUCUGUCAUGAGAAGAAUAUUCCCUGGUUGCUGGUAACCAUUAGCCUGAUCUCUGCAAUAUGAUGAGUGCAGCAGGCCUGCCACCUGGCAUCAAUCCCAAUCACCCACAGCUGGAAGCAGAGUUGCCCCAGACCUGUGAGCAAGAAAUCAUGCUUAUGCCAGAGACAACUGAGAUCCUGUUUGUCACCAUUGAAGCAACAGUAGGUUAACUCAGUACCCCACAUACAAUGUGGUUAUCUCAAGGCAACAUGCAUCAGCCUUUGAGUGGGAAAGAGGACACAGGACUCGGCUACACUCAUUCAAAACCCCAGCCUGUGGUGUCUUCAUUUUCUAGGACCUCUUCCUGCUCUACUGUUGGUGGGGAAAGAGAAAAGGCAUGGAGGAUCCUGUAGGAUGAUCUACUUUAAGGCCAGGCCAGGGUACAUGCCAAGCUCUCACAUUUGGCUUGAGGUGGGAAGGCAGCCCUCUCCUCCCCAUCAUCAUGGAAGGAAGACAGAUGCAAAGCAUAUGUGAUUCUCUCUAAAGAUCUUCAACCUCGACUCUGCAAAUCAUUCACUGUGAUGUCACAUAACAAGUUUUUUGAAGUAUCUUUUGUAAGUCUUGCAUAGAUGGUCCAGCACCUCAUGUUGAAAUGUGGAGAUUCUGGACACGUUGCUUUACUUAAGGUGUUUUGCAAAGUUUUUUUGUAUUUUUAAAAAAUGUAGUCCAAUAUGUCAUUCUUUUGAAGGAGUUAAAAAAAUUCUUAUUUUAGGCUGGGCGCAGUGGCUCAUGCCUGUAAUUCUAGCACUUUGGGAGGUUGAGGCAGGUGGAUCACUUGAGGUCAGGAGUUCAAGACCAGCCUGGCCAACAUGGUGAAACCCCCGUCUCUACUAAAAAUACAAAAAUUGGCCAGUGUGAGCCGGGCGCGGCGGCUCACGCCUGUAAUCCCAGCACUUUGGGAAGCCGAGGCGGGCGGAUCACAAGAUCAGGAGAUUGAGACCAUCCUGGCUAACACAGUGAAAUCCCGUCGCUACUAAAAACAAAAAAUUAGCCGGGCAUGGUGGCACGUGCCUGUAGUCCCAGCUACUGGGGAGGCUGAGGCAGGAGAAUGGCGUGAACCCAGGAGGCGGAGCUUGCAGUGAGCCGAGAUCGCGCCACUACACUCCAGCCUGGGCGACAGAGGGAGACUCCGUCUCAAAAAAAAAAAAACCAAACGAACAAACAAAAACAAAUUAGCCGGGUGUGGUGGCAGGCUCCUGUAAUCCCAGCUACUUGGGAGGCUGAGGCAAGAGAAUUGUUUGAACCCAAGAGGUGGAGGUUGCAGUGAGCCGAGAUCACACCACUGCAAUCCAACCUGGGUGAAAGAGUGAGACUCCUUCUCAAAAAACAAACAAACAAAAAUUCUUAUUUUACUCCUGGUCUGAGAAACUUGGACUCUCCUUCCAGUUAUCCCAUUCCUAACUGGGCAGCUGUGGGCAGGUUACAUAACAAGUUUGAGCCUCAGUUUCUUUAUCAGUAAAAUGAAGUAAGACUAUGCAAUUCAUAGAGUUAUUGUGGGAGUUCAAUGGAACAUUACUUACGAAAGCACCUGGCAUAGCACCAUGCACAGACAGUUUAAAACGUUCCGCGAGAAAGGUCUGCCUUCAUUUCUAUUCUAGAACAGAGAUGUUCUACCUGUUUCCAAACUGCAAAUGAAUAAAUAAAGUAACAGUUUUAAAUUUAUGUUUGCAAUUAACAAAUGACUUUAAAGAGUAGCUUGAACAAGAGGAUGAAUUUGCUAGAAAUCUAGCCCAGUCUUUCCCUUUCAUGUUCUGUGUUGGAUGCUUUUACUGUGUAGGCAGCAUAUCGCUUAUUUAAGGUAAACUAAGAGCCAGGAACAAAAGUGAGAUUUAGAUUUUACUUCCUUUCAGCCACUCCCAAAUCCAGUCCUGUAUAAACAUAACCAAAAUGUAAAUGUUGCCUACGGCUUUCUGGGAAGAUCCUUUCUGAAUAUAAAGUACCCUGGGUAGACUGAUCAUUCUGAAAUAAAACAAAGAAAAU
rnacentral:lncRNA from 1 species